rnacentral:misc_RNA from 1 species
GAGAGAGAGAGAGAGACUUAAUUAUACUAUUGGAGCAUUAGUUGGUGCUUAUAAUGAAAGAAAUAAUUGAUGAUGUCUUGUUUAUCAAGAGGUAGGUGUUUGGUGUUUGGUUACUCUCCUUAUUGGUAGUCACAGAUCCCCUUCAUUUUGUGGGACAUCUUUUUCUAAGUUACACAUUUCAUUGUAUUUGUAUGCUAAGGCCAUAUGUUUCGGUUCUGCUUGCUCCAAUUGCUCAACUAUAAAAUAUUUUUGCAGGUUGGUUCCAUAUCUCUUUGCUGGUGCUGUGAAUUUUUGUGGCUUGUUAUAUGUGCCAUUGGAUUAUGAGUUGUUUGCUAUGUUUUGUUAGAUCUGGGAUACUGCUGGCCAGG